UACGUAGGGGGCAAGCGUUAUCCGGAUUUACUGGGUGUAAAGGGAGCGUAGACGGUAAUGUAAGUCUGAUGUGAAAGCCCGGGGCUCAACCCCGGCGAGCCGUUGAAACUGGCUGUCUUGAGAUGUCGAGAGGUAUGCGGAAUGCGCAGUGUAGCGGUGAAAUGCAUAGAUAUCACGCAGAACUCCGAUUGCGAAGGCAGCAUACCGGCGCCCAACUGACGCUCAGGCACGAAAGCGUGGGUAUCGAACAGG
rnacentral:rRNA from 1 species